AGUGAACGCUGGCGGUAGGCCUAACACAUGCAAGUCGAACGGCAGCACAGUAAGAGCUUGCUCUUACGGGUGGCGAGUGGCGGACGGGUGAGGAAUACAUCGGAAUCUACUUUUUCGUGGGGGAUAACGUAGGGAAACUUACGCUAAUACCGCAUACGACCUACGGGUGAAAGCAGGGGAUCUUCGGACCUUGCGCGAUUGAAUGAGCCGAUGUCGGAUUAGCUAGUUGGCGGGGUAAAGGCCCACCAAGGCGACGAUCCGUAGCUGGUCUGAGAGGAUGAUCAGCCACAAUGGAACUGAGACACGGUCCAGACUCCUACGGGAGGCAGAAGUGGGGAAUAUUGGACAAUGGGCGCAAGCCUGAUCCAGCCAUACCGCGUGGGUGAAGAAGGCCUUCGGGUUGUAAAGCCCUUUUGUUGGGAAAGAAAAGCAGCAGGUUAAUACCCCGCUGUUCUGACGGUACCCAAAGAAUAAGCACCGGCUAACUUCGUG
rnacentral:rRNA from 1 species